UUGGGCCGAAACCCUUAUUUUUCUAAUUAUCUUUUCCUUUCCCACACUCUCUCUUCUCUCUCAUAGCUCACGUCCCUCCUCUCUUCCAGCGGUGUCUUUAGUGGUUGUGACCGCCGCCGCCGCCGCCGACGACUCAGGUUGAACUGAAAUCCACUCUUGACAAAGAUAAGUUUCUGAACCAAUGACACACAAAUCGUUCCAGCAUAGUUGUCCAUGUGAAGGCUAAACUUGUGUAGAUACAGGUUGCCCAUAUUAUUUGAUACCCAAACCUGAAGAUGUUGGCAUUGUACCUAUAAUGAAUAUCUCCCUCAUGUAUAAUAGAUGCAUGAUGUACCUGGUGUUUCCUCCAAUUAAAGCACAGUUGACCCGCAAAGUGAUGCAAACACCCAUGGUUCAACAAAACCAUUCUGGAAAGUAGUGUGGUGUUGCGUAUGUCUUUUUUAUUUUUGUGUUAUCAUGUACCUUUACUAUAGUAGUUUGUAAUAUGUUCAGGGUGUAGCAGAGUAUCAAGAAAAAGGUCCCUAAUUGUACAAUUCUUAUGUCAGGCAUGGCUAUCGAUGUUAUGAAGACUGAAAGAGUACAAAGGUUGAUAAUUAAAGAAAGACUAUACUACUGUUUCAUCCUCCAUUUCAACUUUUGUUUCUUGGUUUCGUCCUUGCUACGAUAGAUGGAAUUUGAACAUCGUAGAUGGAUGUAUAAUAGGACUCAUCCUAAUCGUGCGGGAUUGAGGAAAGAAUUUAUAGAAGGAGUUGCGGGGUUUAUUGCUAAGGCAAAAUUGCUAAAUGAUUUUCUAAUUGAAGGGACAAUUAGGUGCCCUUGUGUUAAAUGCAAGUGUGUCAAGUUAUUGAGACCAGAUAUAGUUGAACUUCAUCUUUACAAGAAUGGAUUUAUAGAAAAUUAUUAUGUAUGGACUGUUCAUGGAGAGAAUCAUGAUAUUCAUAAUUCUUUUGGUGGUGAGGGUAGUCCUAGAAUAGAGAAUAAUUUUGAAAAUUCUCGAUUCAAUGAAAUGAUGAGCGAUGCUUUUGAGAUGUUCCAAGAGGUUCAAUCCGAACCAAAUGAUGAGGCUAAGCACUUUUAUGAAUAAAUAGAAGAAGUUAGUUAUCCAUUAUAUGAAGGCUCAAUGCAUUCCAAGUUGUCUGUUGCAGUUAGACUACUAACUAUCAAAUCUGAUAGUUCUAUUUCUCAAGCGGGCAUGGAUUCUAUCACUGGGCUGAUGAAUGAACUAAAUCCGAAUAAAAUUAACUUACCCAAAGAUUUCUAUACUGCAAAGAAAUUGGUGUCCAAGUUAGGACUUUCAUUAGAGAGGAUUGACUGUUGUGAGAAAGGAUGCAUGUUAUUUUAUAAGGAUGAUGCAGCGUUAGAAAAUUGUAAGUUUUGUAACCAACCUCGUUAUAAGGAAGUUACAAAUGCUAAUAAGAAAAAGGUCCCGGUGAAAGCGAUGCAUUACUUACCCCUUAUACCAAAGUUAAAGAGAUUGUAUGCAUCAAUGAGCUCCGCUCCUCAUAUGAGAUGGCACUAUGAACAUAAAAGGCCAAUUGGUGUUCUAUGUCACCCGUCAGAUGGAGAAGCAUGGAAGCAUUUUGAUAGAGUGUUCCCGGACUUUGCAAGUGAACCAAGAAAUAUUAGGUUGGGAUUAUGCCCCCACCUGGGCCUUUCCACAUUUAUGUGUCUUCAGUUGGCAUGAACUCUGGCUCUAACCUUAAUUUUAUUCCCACACCAAAUGUAAAUUCUUCUCCCGGUUUUCAUAUUAGUCAACAAGGUAGCUCCUCAACACUACCUACUUCAUCGACUCCAGCUGCAUCUCCGUCAUCAAGCACACCUAGCGUAUCUAGGUUAAAUAUUGGAGUCUCUGGCACACCAACAUCACCAUCCAUUGGUAGUGCUACACCAACAACUUCUCGGGAUCGAAUUGAUAGAGAGACUCCACAAUAUGAUGCAUAUAGUAGGUUGAUUAUCGUUCCGGAUGAGCAUGAUGGGUUUUCCCCCAUAUACUACAGCGCAUAUGGUUACAGAGUCUAUUAAACCACUUUACGAUGAUGCUUGGAGUAUAUGAAGAGAAAUUCCAUAUCAUAUCAGAGAUGCAAUGUGGAAUCAGUUUAGGACUAAGUGUGUGUGGGAGCAACGAUAUGACAAUGAAAUAAAAGAUGUCUUUGUGAAGAAAGCAAAAAAUGCGAUUACAAGUUCAUUGUAUGAAGCUCGAGAAAAGAGGCAGAAUCCUGGUUGGAUAAGAGAAGAUGUGUGGAUAAAAGUUUUAGCAAUAUGGGAUAGUGAUGCAUUUAAGAAGAAGAGUAAACGAGCAAAGGCAGCCCUAGCCUCUCAAAAGGGUGGCUCGUGCACACCGGGGGAUCUAUGAGUUUUGCUGCGCAUCGACGGAGAUUGGAAAAGUUAAAAGGGGACCAGUAUCUCAUGCUGAGGUCUUUGCGGAGACACAUACGAAAAAGAAGAAAGACGGUUCAAGAGAAGGAUGGGUUGAGAUACGUGUAUCGGAACAAUAUGAUGGAUAUCAUAGAAUCUUGGAUGAAUGGUGUCAGACAUAGCCUACUUCUGAUGAUGGUACCCCAAUCCAACCGUCACCCGAUGAUAUGACUUCAAUAUGGACAGAUAUGGCAGGUGGUAUAUCCAAAGGAAGAGUUUACGGACUUGGAGUACAACGACCUUCCUCUUUUUGUCCAUUGCCAUUAUUUUCGGAUGCUCAUAUUGCGCAAAAUCAUGAAGAAAUGGAAGCAAUGCAAAAGAAAAUUGAGUUGUUGUCUAAACGGUGUGAAACAGCCGAAACUCACAUUGCUAGAAUGGAUAAAUACAUGAAAAAGCACAUGCCCCACUCUUAUGACGAUGAAAAGGUUGAAUUUGAUGCGUAGUAGUGGUUUAUGGUUGAUUACUAUUUUUGAAUGUUUAGAUUUUAUAUUUAGACUUUAUGGUAGAUUUGGAUGAUGUGGUAUAUAUGUUUAGACUUUAUUAUAUUAGUGUCAAUGUGUAUUAGCUACUUAGACUUGAUAUUGAAUAUUUUGGACUUUGACUAAUGUUUUGGUUUGAUA